GGUGUAGCCAAGCGGUAAGGCAACGGACUUUGACUCCGUCAUUCGCAGGUUCAAAUCCUGCCAUC
rnacentral:tRNA from 1 species